UAUAUUCAUACAACAGUUUAACAGUAAGUUUUACUAAACACUAAAGACUGCUCUUAAAUUCGUAACACUUUUUAAAAUAAAUUUUACCAAACGUUUAACUAAUUCUUUUCACAUCUGAUUAUUUCUACGGCACAAUUAAUAGUUAUUAUUUUAAGAACUACAACAUUACCAAAUUGGAUCAUAAUACAAUCUCAUAUAUAUCCUCACAUAUGUUAUAACAAUUUAAAAUUAUUCUCAUGCCAUUAUGGAUUAGAAUAAUUAAAUUUAAACAUGGCACUUAAUAAAAAUUUAUUCCCUUUUAUUUUGCAAAUUCUGUUAACCGCCUUUGAUAAAUAAAAAUCCGGAUAGGUGUUCCUGUAUUUUUCAUUCUUAUUUCAAAUUCAAGCCAUGACCAUGGCAUCAAUAACUGUCUGUAUUUAUUAAAGAGUAAUGCUACACAUCCCAAAUUUUUUAUCCUAAAAAGUUAUCUCAAAUGAUGUGUCAUUUAUCAAUUGGCUGGUGAAAUAAUGCAAUUAAUUCACUUGGAUCUUAUAAAAAAUUAUCAACCACUCAAUUAAUGACAUAUUAUUUGGGAUAAUUUUUUAGGAUAAAAAUUUGGGAUUAGCACUACUCUUUAUUAAAAGCAUAUAGAAUUUAUGUACUUAACAUCAAUGGAUACGAGGACCGUCAAUUUGACUAAUUAAUUAAAUCGUCACAAUAUUUAAACAGAGGUCUGGCAAGACCAUGUGGGAUAAUCUGAUGAAGGAUCUUGACACUAAAUUUCAGAUAAAUUAUAUACCUUGGAUUUGAUCAAAUCUUUUAUUAAAGCCGUAAGGAUCUACUUGUGGUCCGUCUAAUCUCUACCCAGCCCAAAAAAAAAAAAAAAAAAAGGAAACAAAAUUGCGUAUCAUGCAUAAUGCACAUGCAACGCAGUUUAAAUAAUAAUAAUAAUAAUAAAACUGAAGCUAAAUCUUUGUCGGCCGUUCAAAUACUGACUGGCCAUAGCUAGUGGAUCAAUGAAUAAUUUCAUCUUGGAUAAACCAUAAUCAGCCUCAUGCGGUUCUUUAUUUUCUAGCCUUUGUGUUUCGCUCAACUAGACUGUAGCUGAAGUUUGUGAUUUGGUUAGCCGGCCAAUACUCAUUAGCAUUUGUGUUUAACAUGUUUAGCUAUGGUUUAGUGACUAGAUCAAUUCCGUUGAGGAUCUUUAAUAUUUCACCUCAUAUAUUAUUAUUCAAAUUUAGGCUUCAACCAUAUCACCACUAAUGUAGGGAAUCCAAUCAGAAAUUCGUAGUCACGUAUGUUUGAAAAGAACAAUAUUGUAAGACUUCGUUUGAGAUUAAGGUUGAAAUACCAUAAGCAACUUAUUCAUAAGUUUUGAAAAAAAAUAAUAUUUGGUAAUUUUUUUAAA
rnacentral:lncRNA from 1 species